ACACUCUUGUUUCUCUUCAAAUCGUAUAAAUCUUUCGCCUUUUACUAAAGAUUUCCGUGGGGAGGAAUAACACGAGUCAAAACGAAUUUUUUGAUGCCUUGUGUAACUGUGGCU